GUCAAGUGAGCACACGCGAGAUCCUGUAACAAGCAAGUAAAAAGCAUGAAAUAUAUUUUCACUUGAAGAAGCAGCACUUCAUCGCCACCAUGUUGAAUGACACUUUCUUAGCCUAAUAGCAUUGCCCAAGUCAUACCUGAAAGCUUUUGGAAAACACACACACGCACAAUUUUUUUUAGUCAUAGACCACAUUGGUAUAUUUUUAUUGGUCUUUCUGAAAGCAACGAGUGCCUUUGGCAAUCAUCCUAUUAGGCUAACGACCUUUCAAUGAGAGUGACCCAUCUCACGCAUGCAAACUAGAUACCACCACCACCACCCUCAAUCUGGCUGCAUCUUCACCCAGCCUAACAUUUGAAUCAUGAGAUGGAGAAAUUUGCUGCGGUGGUAGUUUUUUUGGUUGCGUGGUUUUUUUCCACACUCGAUUGGGCCGAAGGCUCCCAACAUUUGUAUACAAUUAAAAAGUCACUUUUCCAUAAUAUGUUCCCGUUAAAAUGUAUUCAAUUUGUUACCACAUGUUCGUGUUCAUCCUUUUAGUAUUUAAAAAAAAAAAAAAAAAAUCAACCGAUUGAUGAGUUUACUUCUGUGUGUACACUUGUACGUAUGCAUGCGUGUGUGUGUGUGUGUGUGUGUGUGUGUGUGUGUUGUGAGCAAGUGGAUAUACUGUAAAUAUUUUUUUCUAAUUAGAAUUUAAAUACCAAUACAGAAUUUUAGCCAUACUAGCUUGCCAUGGAUGUAAAUAUUUUCUAAUUUAUGUUGUAAUUUAAUGGGCUCUUUUGUGUGUGUGUGUGUGUGUGUGUGUGUGUGU